rnacentral:rRNA from 1 species
UACGUAGGGUGCAAGCGUUGCCCGGAUUUAUUGGGCGUAAAGGGCGCGCAGACGGCUACGCACGUCCGUUGUGAAAUCGCUCGGCUCAACUGGGCGGGGUCGGCGGAUACGGCGUAGCUGGAGCAAGCUAGGGGGCAAUGGAAUUCCCGGUGUAGUGGUGGAAUGCGUAGAUAUCGGGAGGAACACCGGUGGCGAAGGCGGCGACCUGGGUAGAUACUGACGCUGAGGCGCGAAAGCGUGGGGAGCAAACAGG